rnacentral:pre_miRNA from 1 species
AGCUUUCUGUAUCCGUGUUGAGAUUUCGUCAGCUAUCAGCCCAUUGGGUCUAAUGCAACUCCCUGAAUAAGUGAAGUG